AGCUUUGCUCAGUGGCAGUGUCAGAGCCAAUGAGAUUUAUCUGAGGCACAAUUAUUGCUAACUGAAAACUUUACCCUCAUAGUUGAGACUUGAACUUGUAGUCUUCCUGCCUUAGUCACCUUCACUGCUGGGAUUGCAGGUGUAAGCCUGGAUUGUAUUAUUAUUUUUAAACAUCUCUUAAUG
rnacentral:snRNA from 1 species